GGAUAUGAGGGCAGUCUGUGAUAUCUGUCACUCCACUGAUCUCAAGGAUUGAUUCAGUUGAUCUGGCUGGAUAAGCUGGUAUUGCCUUUCCCUCACUGCUCCAUGUGUUCCUUAUGAAGUUGUAUGCUGGGUUAAAGAGGAGAAUUAAUCUUUGGUCAAGGGUAUUUGAGUAGCUGCACCCCCUGUUAGAACCUCCAUACAAGCUUUUACAAUCCACUUGUAGGAAAAUGUAGUCAAGCUUCCAAACAAACAAACAAAAA
rnacentral:snRNA from 1 species